GACAGAGGGUGCAAACGUUGUUCGGAUUUACUGGGCGUAAAGCGCGUGUCGGCGGCUUGGCAAGUCGGAUGUGAAAGCCCACGGCUCAACCGUGGAAGCGCAUCCGAAACUGCUUCGCUCGAGUCUCGGAGAGGAAGGUGGAAUGCUUGGUGUAGAGGUGAAAUUCGUAGAUAUCAAGCAGAACACCUGCGGCGAAGGCGGCCUUCUGGACGAUGACUGACGCUGAGACGCGAAAGCGUGGGGAGCAAACAGG
rnacentral:rRNA from 1 species